GACGAACGCUGGCGGCGUGCUUAACACAUGCAAGUCGAACGGAAAGGCCCUGCUUUUGUGGGGUGCUCGAGUGGCGAACGGGUGAGUAACACGUGAGUAACCUGCCCUUGACUUUGGGAUAACUUCAGGAAACUGGGGCUAAUACCGGAUAGGAGCUCCUGCUGCAUGGUGGGGGUUGGAAAGUUUCGGCGGUUGGGGAUGGACUCGCGGCUUAUCAGCUUGUUGGUGGGGUAGUGGCUUACCAAGGGUUUGACGGGUAGCCGGACUGAGAGGGUGACCGGCCACAUUGGGACUGAGAUACGGCCCAGACUCCUACGGGAGGCAGCAGUUGGGAAUAUUGCACAAUGGGCGGAAGCCUGAUGCAGCAACGCCGCGUGCGGGAUGACGGCCUUCGGGUUGUAAACCGCUUUCGCCUGUGACGAAGCGUGAGUGACGGUAAUGGGUAAAGAAGCACCGGCUAACUACGUG
rnacentral:rRNA from 1 species